ensembl:lncRNA
AAAGGGGAAGGAAAAGCAGGAGCCAUCAGGGUCUACAGAUGAUCUUGAGUGAUGGCCCCAGCUUCCAAGUCAAGUCAAAUAAUUGGUGAGAAUCAUUCUCCUCACAUUUCCUGGUUGGGAAAUGAUUGAGAAAUACACACAGGCAUCAGGGCUGACCACUAUGGGCAGACAGAUCUGAAUGAGAGAGCUAGAGAAGCCAGGCCUCACACAUGCAGUGACCCAUCCAGCUAUCUACCAGUUAGAAGGACGUUUUUGUAAAGUGACUCUUCAGAUUCUCACAUGCCUGUGGUGUCAGAGGCUCAACAAGACAUCAAAAACGUUUCACAAAGAAACAGAAAGAUUUCUUCCUGAAAAUAUGGACAAAAAUCAAAGCUUUGAAACUCAGAUUACAUUUUAGAUAUACUGUCUUUUUUUAAAUUAAUUAAGCAACUCAUUGGUAAAUACUUUUGGUAAAAUGUUUUUGCUUUUUUUAAUGGAACGUUAUUUCCAUAUUUCUUGCUUUUUUAGUGCAAACCUUUGAAUAUUCAGCUUUAUUAAAUCAAGUCAUAUCUCUCCUGGAUAAUAUGUUAUGUGCGAUAGAUUUCAUUCAGGAUUGGGUGGUUAAGUUGCAAUGAUUUUAAAUCAAGUCUCCACCUCAGGAACCCAGGAAUGUUAGAUAGGAGAUUAGAAAAAGUCCACAGCUUACCAAGACCUUCAGCUAUUCUGAUAAAC